GGAUGUGAGGGCCAUGUAGCUGUGUUAUCUAUCACUCCAUUGACUGCCAAGGUUAAUAAGGAUGAUCUGGUUGGCAAGGUGGGUGUCCCCUUCCUCCCUCACUGCUCCAUGUGUGUCCCUCCCAAAGCUGUGUGCUCAGUCAAAGAAGACAGCUUUUCCUGAAUAGAGACAGACCAUUCUUCAGUGGAGGGUAUACAAACAGCUGCAUUUCCCUGCUAGAACCUCCAAACUCUGAUGAGGCAGAGAGAACAUGGUGUUUUUAUAUAAAAUUGUAUUGCUGGUUUACAGUGGGAUUUUGAUG
ensembl:misc_RNA 7SK 7SK RNA